rnacentral:rRNA from 1 species
GUAGGGUGCAAGCGUUAUCCGGAAUCAUUGGGCGUAAAGAGCUCGUAGGCGGGGUUCAGCAAGUCGGGCUGUGAAAUCCCGAGGCUUAACCUCGGAACUGCAGUCGAUACUGCUGUGACUAGAGUCCGGUAGAGGAGAAUGGAAUUCCCGGUGUAGCGGUGAAAUGCGCAGAUAUCGGGAGGAACACCAGUAGCGAAGGCGGUUCUCUGGGCCGGUACUGACGCUGAGGAGCGAAAGCGUGGGUAGCAAACAGGAUUAGAUACCCUGGUAGUCCACGCCGUAAACGUUGGACACUAGGUGUGGCGUUCCGACCAACGGGUGCCGUGCCGAAGCUAACGCAUUAAGUGUCCCGCCUGGGGAGUACGGCCCGCAAAGGCUA